UACGAAGGGGGCUAGCGUUGCUCGGAAUCACUGGGCGUAAAGGGUGCGUAGGCGGGUCUUUAAGUCAGGGGUGAAAUCCUGGAGCUCAACUCCAGAACUGCCUUUGAUACUGAGGAUCUUGAGUUCGGGAGAGGUGAGUGGAACUGCGAGUGUAGAGGUGAAAUUCGUAGAUAUUCGCAAGAACACCAGUGGCGAAGGCGGCUCACUGGCCCGUAACUGACGCUGAGGCACGAAAGCGUGGGGAGCAAACAGG
rnacentral:rRNA from 1 species